GACGAACGCUGGCGGCGUGCCUAAUACAUGCAAGUAGAACGCUGAAGGAGGAGCUUGCUUCUCCGGAUGAGUUGCGAACGGGUGAGUAACGCGUAGGUAACCUGCCUGUUAGCGGGGGAUAACUAUUGGAAACGAUAGCUAAUACCGCAUAAGAGUAGAUGUUGCAUGACAUUUGCUUAAAAGGUGCAAUUGCAUCACUACCAGAUGGACCUGCGUUGUAUUAGCUAGUUGGUGGGGUAACGGCUCACCAAGGCGACGAUACAUAGCCGACCUGAGAGGGGGAUCGGCCAACCUGGGACUGAGACACGGCCCAGACUCCUACGGGAGGCAGCAGUAGGGAAUCUUCGGCCAUGGACGGAAGUCUGACCGAGCAACGCCGAGUGAGUGAAGAAGGUUUUCGGAUCGUAAAGCUCGGUUGUAAGAGAAGAACGAGUGUGAGAGUGGAAAGUUCACACUGUGACGGUAUCUUACCAGAAAGGGACGGCUAACUACGUG
rnacentral:rRNA from 1 species